CACAUCAGUCAUUCAACAUCUGUUGUUUCUGUUAGGUUUAUCAAACACUUGGAUCGUGGUUACAACUCCUGUGCCAGAACAGACCUGUUCUUCAUUCCACUUGCAUCUUCUAAGCUGGCCAAAAAAAGGGAGGAGGCCGUAGAAAGAUGCAGAAGGGAGGCUGAGCUCAGUGCUCGGCAAGAGCGUGAACGAGAGAAGGACAGAGAACGAGAAAGAGAGGCAGACAGAAAUGCUAGAGCAUCCAGCUCCUCCCAUGACAAUCGAAUGAAUGAGGUCCACAUGGUUGCUCAAAGCCACAUACGUCCCUCUUUGAGCAACCACCCACCACUGUAGCUGCUGUUCCCCCUUACAUUGGACCGGAUACACCUGCCCUGCGGACCCUGAGUGAAUAUGCCCGCCCCCAUGUCAUGUCUCCCACCAAUCGCAACCACCUUUCUAUGUAUCAUUGAGUCCCGGCGACCCCCUGCUGGCCUACCACAUGCCUCCUCUGUACAGUGCUGAGCCCAGCCUGAGGGAGCGUGAGCUCAGGAACCUCAGAGAGCGGGAGCUGCGGGACAGGAUGAAGCCUGGCUUUGAGGUCAAACCCCCGGAUCUGGAAACUUUACACCCCUCAGCCAACCCCAUGGAGCAUUUUGCCAGACAUGGAGCACUGGCUCUUCCCCAUAUUCCUGGCCUCCUCACCACUUCACACCCUUCCAUCCAGGGUUUGCCCAUGUUGAGCGAGAACGGAUGGCACUGGCAGGACCUCAGCUACGCCCAGAGCUGAGUUAUGCCGAGCGGCUCACAGCAGAGCGGCUUCAUGCCGAGAGGAUGGCUUCGGUGGCAAAUGACCCGGCUGCAAGACUGCAGAUGUUAAAUGUGACACCGCAUCAUCACCAGCACUCCCACAUUCACUCUCACUUGCACCUUCAUCAACAGGAUCCCC